UUGCAAUUCCAGCAUGUCAGGGCCGCCUCCCCGCAAGUUGGGCCCCCUUUUUUACUUUUUUGGGGGUGUUAACCCCCCCCCCCCAUACUGCCCCCCCCCGCCCCAGGUGGCACGGCCCUGCUUCCGAACCGAAACAAAAUUCAUAUCUGUUUUGUUCUAGCUGUUACAGACAAUAAUUUAGCAAAUAUUUUUAAUAAACGAAGCUGUGGUUCCGCUUAGAACACAAAAAAACCACAAAGUUUUGUUUAACACUGUGUCGAGGUAUGAUUUAUAAUUAGAACUAUUCCUAAUAAAUAAAACACUAACACCUUGUAUAAAUACUCGGUUGUUUACAAGUAUUACAGAGCUGUAAUAUCAGAGCACAUUGCCAGCAUGUUUGCCACUGAUUCAAGGGUAGGGAUGGGCGAUACCAGCUUUUUCAUUCGAUGGGUCGUUCCAGAAAAGAUCCAUACUCCCCCCACAGAGGAAAUUUCUGCUGUCCAGAGGGGAGAAAAAAUUGUUUCUGAUAAUAGUAAAUGUAUUAGGACAUCCGAAGGGGGUAGGGGGGUUAACUUCCUAUUUCCUCCGUGGGGGUGGUAUGGAUGUUUUCUGGAAUGACCCAAUACAAUAUUUGCCAUUUUUUUCGAUAUUGAUACCGAUAUCAAUAUUUUCCCAACUCAAACAACCAUAACAACAAAAAGGCUAUUUUUAAUCAUUAACAAUGGCAACAAUGCUAACAAUACCAAACAUUGAUUUUAUAAUAUAUGUCAGUGAUUGCAACCAACAUAUAUAUAACCAGAAAUUCUGAUCCUGCCCGAGGACCAUUAUAGUACCAUAGAAAAUAAACUACUUUUAUAUUAUUUAAGCCUAUUUAGGAUUUUUGGUAUCAUGUUCAUCAUGAAGCCUCUGGCCAAAAUGAAAAAUAUCGCAGGCUCAGAAGUAUCGAAACAAUCGAUAUUUCUUGCCAGUAUCGAUACUUUUCUUCAGAACCCUAGUAUAGUAUCGAGUACUUGGUAUCAGCCCAUCCUUAACCAAAAGUCUCUGUCCAGUAGAAAAUUAAUUUAUUAAAAACUUGUUCCAGUGUCUCUUGCGUCAACCAGUAUUUUACAACUAAGCAGGACUGUGAAUAACCAAUUAUAAGCCCACCUAGAACAUCUGAGACGUGAUGUCGACCCAGCACUACUCUCGAUAUGGCAACCAUUGCAGCCCAGAUGAAACCUAACUUGGUGUAAAACUGAUUUGUCCAGUAACGCGUAAACAAUAUUGCAACCAUAGCAACACGUGUGCUAUGCCCUGACGGGAAUGAAUACCUAUCGACAGAAACGGUUGCAAACAUGUCGUCAAUGUUAUAUGCAGGUCGUGGCCGUCGUACAAUUAUUUUCAGGAACCCAACAAUUGCAAGAUCAAUGAUAAGGGCCAUGAGUAGAUUACAGAAGAAUAGCCUCGUUCCGAUGUCAGGGUUUUGGUAAAUCACAUAAAAUGUUGCAGUUAGCCAUGGAAUUCCGUGCCCAGAGUACUCGAGCAGUUUUAGAAAUAGUCUUAGAACAUGGAUUCCAAAAUUAUCUUCGUCUUUGGCCGGUAUAGACAGUACUUGAGAUAUAUAUCGAUCAAGCUUGAGCAAACUAAAUUCCUCUUGUGACAUUUUGCAACAAAUUCCUGUAGAAACUUCAGUUUAAAGAUGAAUUUUGGCAACAAGUGACUUGUAAUUUCUCAAUUAAAUUAGAAGAGCGUAUCAAUAAUAACUUUAUUCAAAAAUAAAGCGUAAAAGCAUCGCAGAAAAUAAAUUAUUUAAAAGGAACUGUCAUUUUCAUUUGAAUGAAUAUAUCUUGG